rnacentral:rRNA from 1 species
CGUGCUUACCAUGCAGUCGAACGGUGAACACGGAGCUUGCUCUGUGGGAUCAGUGGCGAACGGGUGAGUAACACGUGAGCAACCUGCCCCUGACUCUGGGAUAAGCGCUGGAAACGGCGUCUAAUACUGGAUAUGUGACGUGAUCGCAUGGUCUGCGUCUGGAAAGAAUUUCGGUUGGGGAUGGGCUCGCGGCCUAUCAGCUUGUUGGUGAGGUAAUGGCUCACCAAGGCGUCGACGGGUAGCCGGCCUGAGAGGGUGACCGGCCACACUGGGACUGAGACACGGCCCAGACUCCUACGGGAGGCAGCAGUGGGGAAUAUUGCACAAUGGGCGCAAGCCUGAUGCAGCAACGCCGCGUGAGGGAUGACGGCCUUCGGGUUGUAAACCUCUUUUAGCAGGGAAGAAGCGAAAGUGACGGUACCUGCAGAAAAAGCGCCGGCUAACUACGUGCCAGCAGCCGCGGUAAUACGUAGGGCGCAAGCGUUAUCCGGAAUUAUUGGGCGUAAAGAGCUCGUAGGCGGUUUGUCGCGUCUGCUGUGAAAUCCGGAGGCUCAACCUCCGGCCUGCAGUGGGUACGGGCAGACUAGAGUGCGGUAGGGGAGAUUGGAAUUCCUGGUGUAGCGGUGGAAUGCGCAGAUAUCAGGAGGAACACCGAUGGCGAAGGCAGAUCUCUGGGCCGUAACUGACGCUGAGGAGCGAAAGGGUGGGGAGCAAACAGGCUUAGAUACCCUGGUAGUCCACCCCGUAAACGUUGGGAACUAGUUGUGGGGUCCAUUCCACGGAUUCCGUGACGCAGCUAACGCAUUAAGUUCCCCGCCUGGGGAGUACGGCCGCAAGGCUAAAACUCAAAGGAAUUGACGGGGACCCGCACAAGCGGCGGAGCAUGCGGAUUAAUUCGAUGCAACGCGAAGAACCUUUACCAAGGC